UGCAAACAAAGCACUUGAAGAAGUGCCAGGAAAACUAAUGAGUCCAGCAGUUUUCUGUUACAUGACAAAAGCCAUAAUGAGCUGCUGCGUCGCCUCAGGCAUUUGUUUACUUGAAGUUCUGGCAGGAACCAUAGGCUGCGAACGGAUCCGGCUCCAGUUCAGCCCAUAGAACUCCAGGUACCAGUGGAGCCUCCUUCAUUAAACUGGGAUCCGCCGCGAGCGACGCGGCGGAUCAGACAUCACACAGCCAUGAAAUCAGCUGUGGGGAAAAAACAAGUCAAAUGCGACGUGGGUUCACAGGUGAUCGAGGGACUUCUGGCUCAGACCACACCCAGGCUUCGCUAUCGGACUCUCUGCAGCCUACCUGCACUUCACACGGCACCUGUUCAUCACAGAGAAGGAGACGACGUGUGACGUGGAGGGACGCAUGCUCUGGUGCUGAUCCGUGAUGAGGUCCAACCUGCCUCUGACUCAGUAAACACACAUUAUGACUGCUUGACUCAAGCUUUGUGUCUCGUUGGGUUCAUUUACCGCCUCUGAGAGGACGCACACUUUACUGCUUGGUGAAUCAGCAGAUUUUGUGCACAGCUACUGGGAAACUCUUCAUGAGCUUCAAGGGAUGUGUCUGAAACUGGUCCAGAAACAGGAUGGUUGAAAAGAUGGAGGGAGAGCGUGAGGAUGAUGGGAUCACAGGGGUUAAAGCUGCUGCUUCGUGGAGGUUCUGCCACCGCUGAAGUCGCACUGCACACACACCUGAGCCCAAAGGAACAAUAGGUUUUAUGACAGUCAGACUGCACUUCUGUUUCUGUAACGGCACCAGUGACUGCAGCUAAAAGCCUGAAGACUUGGAGACAGACCUCACGAACGUGUUGUUCCUCCCUGCAGGUAAAAGGACAGAGCAGGAGAUUGGAUUUCUGAAUGGAUCCAGGAUCCUGGUUUUCCUCCAACGUCAAUAUUUGGAGCCAGUUUGAGGAGUUUUGUCUAAAUAUUUCUCCUGCACUGUUUACACAGCAGCCCAGUUUCCACAUCGGGCCGAGCCAACGGUUCCGUUAGAUUGUUGCGUGGAUGCAGCUGUUGGUUCCAGCUCAGCUCUGACAAACACAGCAGCAGCAGAGAGCUCUGCUCAGCAGGACGUGAACGUGGAACCUGUAGAGUCACGCAGAACCAGAACCCAGUGUUUGGACUGGACUUAGAGUCACGCAGAACCAGAACCCAGUGUUUGGACUGGACUUAGGCUCCGUGCCAUUCGCUUUGAUUGACACAUAGAACGUUAGUGAGUACGGGAACACAAGCGGAAUGCGUGCAUCACCAAAAUCCACCAGAACCCAGAACCUGCACGGACACGUUCACAGGAAACGUGCGUUCAUCUGCAUGAAGUUCCAGUAAGAGGAGGAGCGGCCUCACCUCCAUCAGUCCGCGAUAAGGAUCUGUCCUGCGUAUUAGCACAAG
rnacentral:lncRNA from 1 species